GUGUCUGUGGUGGAACUGGCAUACACGUAGCCUUGAGGUGGCUAUGCUUCGGCUUGGAGGUUCAAAUCCUCUCAGACACACCA
rnacentral:tRNA from 1 species